GGGGGUGCAUUGGUUUCGAUGGGAGACCUGAGGCGACGGAUGCAUACCGGGAAGUCUGUAACCCGUAAACUGCAGGCAAAACCACAAUUGCGAAUACAGAACUCGCAAUGGCAGCUUAAUUAAAACCUAAGCUACCCGUUCGCUCCGGCAUCGCCUGUGUGCCGGAAUCCGAGCGCCGACUUUGCAGGCUAGCGAUUCAGCGCAGGUCAGAACUGAAAAGCGAAAUAAAUCUGGCAUAGUUUGUACCCAGUUCUUCGUCGCUUCUGCAGCUUUCGGGUUGCUUCGCUACUGGGCGCGAGCGAAACAAAUGAGCGAAGCGGCUAAGUAUGUAGAUUCCUUCGAAGACGGCUGCCAGACGUCGGUUCGAUCCCGACCACCUCCAUCA
rnacentral:tmRNA from 1 species